AUUCCUACGGGAGGCAGCAGUCGAGAAUUUUUCACAAUGGGCGAAAGCCUGAUGGAGCGACGCCGCGUGGGGGACGAAUGGCUUCGGCCCGUAAACCCCUGUCAUUUGCGAACAAACCCUACAGGUUAACAACCUGUGAGCUGAUUGUAGCGAAAGAGGAAGGGACGGCUAACUCUGUGCCAGCAGCCGCGGUAAUAAU
rnacentral:rRNA from 1 species